rnacentral:rRNA from 1 species
GUGGAUUAGAUACCCUGGUAGUCCACGCCGUAAACGAUGAGUGCUUGGUGUAGCGGGUAUCGACCCCUGCUGUGCCGAAGUCAACACAUUAAGCACUCCGCCUGGGGAGUACGGUCGCAAGACUGAAACUCAAAGGAAUUGACGGGGGCCCGCACAAGCGGUGGAGCAUGUGGUUUAAUUCGAAGCAACGCGCAGAACCUUACCUGGGUUUGAACUGCACAGGAAAGUCUCAGAGAUGAGAGCCCCUCUUCGGAGGUCUGUGUAGAGGUGCUGCACGGCUGUCGCCAACU